CAGGGACUCCAGUUCCUCACUGUAGUGGGUGUCCCAGUCUAAAAUAAAGUCUUUUUAAAGAAGAUGGUGAAAAAGGGAGCAGAGGUAGAUAGUGAAAUACCAUGUUUGAAACUAUAAAACAUGUCAAAUUUGUCAAGUUUGAAUAAAAGUAACUUCAUUUGUAUGUUUAUAUUUUUAAGGCAAAUGAGAAACACAUCUACAAUUAGAGUCAUCAACACUAGUCCUACCAAAGCAGUGUAAGCUUCUUAUCUGGGCUUUUAAAUGUGUGGCCAAAUGGUUAAGUCCGGUGACAGAAUAACAGUCGAUCAGUCAAAAUCUGAUACUGUUACCUAGGUAUGCCAACGAUGCUAAGAAGAAUAUGUGCAAAAGUAAAGAGGAGAGAAAUCAGAAAGAUUUAAGUGAAGAGAAUGAUCUGUUCAAGAUGGUGGUGAAUAGGACACCAACAAGUAGAUGUGUAAUGUAGCAUGAAGAGCACAAGUGGGUUGAUUUGAAAAUCUAGAAGAGUUAAUAUUCAAAACAGGGGUGGAGUGGACAGUAGUCUAGAAAACACAACUUUUAGAAUUAAAUGUUAAAAGAAUAAUUCUAUUAUUUUAGAAAGUAGGAAGGGGUCAGUUGACCAUUGUGCAGUCAAUACUACCAAUAGAAGUUGUCUUUUUUUCAGUGAGUUUUCCCAUUGAUGUUUGAUCAUUAACCCAUUUUAAAGUGGGUCAUUUUCUGCAUCACAGUUCAGUGACUGUCAGUGAUUCUCAAGCUGUCACCACGCACUUAAUAGGAAACAAUUUCGUUAGACCAGACAUGUGAGCAGUAAGUUGAUAUAGUCUGAACUGAAAUAUAGAAUGAGAAGGUGACAUGGCUUGACUCUAUGUUUCCACCCAAAUUGUAUGUGAAAUUGUAAUCACCACAUGUUGAAGGAGGAGCCUGGUGGAAGGUAAUUGGAUCAUGAGGGUGAUUUCUAAUGGUGUAAUACCAUCCCCUUGGUGCUGUCUCAUGAUAGAGUUCUCACGAGAACUGGUUGUUUAAACAUGUGUGGUACCUUCCCCUUCUCUCUAGCUCUCUCUCUUGCCACGAUGAGAAGAAGGUCCUUGCUUCCCCUUUGCUUUCCGCUGUGACUGUAAGUUUCCUGUGGCUUCCUGUUAAACCCCAAAAAUGGGGAUGUAGGAAAUGAGGGAAUUACAAGAAGAGCCAACUGGAAACUUUGCAUAGAAACAAUACACACAAAAUCCGGGCUCAUGUUUUCCUU
rnacentral:lncRNA from 10 species